GGAAGUGAACCAUCUCAGUACCCCCAGGAACAGAAAGCAACAGCGAUUCCCCCAGUAGCGGCGAGCGAACGGGGAACAGCCCAAACCUCUGGCGUGUCAAGCCCGCAAGCGUUGCGCCGGGGGGGUAGUGGGAGCUGCCUGGUUCUUUUGCGGAAGGACCAAGGAGUUACAAACUUGACGGUUAACUGAACGACCUGGAACGGUCGGCGAUACAGGGUAACAGCCCCGUAAGUGAAAACUGAUCAAGCUCCUGGCAGUUUCCCAAGUACCACGGGACACGAGAAAUCCUGUGGGAAUCCGGGAGGACCAUCUUCCAAGGCUAAAUACUCUCCUGCGACCGAUAGUGAACUAGUACCGUGAGGGAAAGGUGAAAAGAACCCCUAUUAGGGGAGUGAAAUAGUACCUGAAACCGUAUGUCUACAAGCAGUGGAAGGGCUAUGGCCUUCGGGCAAUGCCCGACCGCGUGCCUUUUGCAUAAUGAGCCGGCUAGUUA
rnacentral:rRNA from 1 species